ACCCAGCACAUGGCCAACUUAUCUCUGACAGCCACAUGCUCCAGUGUACAGAGAGGCUCCAGAAGAGCAGUGGCUGGUGGCCAGGGGAGUGGUCCUGGCUGGAACUUGGAGUUGUUUACAGCAUAGUCUCCCUCAUGGCUCCAUAUGUAGAGGUGCCGGCGUGCCCCUGGCUCAGAGACCAGCAGCCCCGGACCAUCUUUCAUCAGGAAACAACCAACCUAUUGCAAUCUUUUCCAGCCAGUUAAAUUAACAAAUUGAGACCAGAAUCUCUGUCAAGUUACCCAAGUAAGAGAAUGGAGUAUUUGGGGUUGGGCAGAGAGGAGCUGACACUGUUGGAUUCACCACCAAAGUCAGGUGCCCCUCCGCCGUGUUCCUGAACCCCGUCGGCCUGCAGGCAGGACCGGCAAGUGGCGCCCGAACAUGGGGCACGAGUACGAGGGAUCCUCUGAGGGACCGAUCAAUCAGUAAGGUAAGGAUUAGGUAAGUGAUCGGCAUUAUGGGCAAUACCAUGUCCAAGGGCCAACUUGUUAGAGCCCUACAACUUCUGCUUAAACAUUAUGGAACUCCCGUUAAGGUUCAGACCCUUCAUAAUCUAGUCUCAGUCCUCGCAAAUACCAGCAAAUGGUUCUUUCAGCAGGAUACCGUCUCAGUAAGAAACUGGGAAAAGGUCAAAGCAGACUUCCUUUACAGGGACCUUUACGGACC